GUCAUAUCUCCUGGAUUAAACAUAGAAAGAAAAAAAUUCCAUGUGUGUAAUGGUAAGUUCCCAGUCUGUGGGAAAACGAGAUCUGAUCUUUAAUGUAGUCACGACCUGACCUGCAUACAAAUCACUGUCGUCCCAGUGUUCUUAUCUGAUGUAAAAUCUGAAAGAAAACGUAGAGUCACGUCUUUCUAGAGAAAUGCUUUAUUUUUUUCCUCAAAAUGUUAUAAAAGUUAUUUCUCCUAAAUAUCUACAGUGCAUAGGGCUUUAUAAAUGUAUCCAGUAAUGAAUAAAAUCUAGGUUAACAUUGAUCCACUCUUCCUGACAUUUCUUUAAUUCUCGUUUUUCCUUUUCUUUCCUGACUUUAGCUCUUUGUUCUAGUCUUCUGCCACCACGAAGUGUUACCUGGGAAAGUAGGUCCAGCCGUGUCACCCUGACACGGCCUGCACUGACCUGCUCUCCCCCCCAACGGCGUCAGGCGGCGUCAGGGACCUGACUGAGGGCAACGAGGCGCCUGCAGAGAGGGGGCCCGAGUCUGCAACAGCACGAGUGUCGGACGCAGGAGGGAUCUAUCCGGGAGCAAGGUCUGGGGCACGGCUGAGCCACCGAGGAGGUGACCACUCAUAUCACAGCUUCUCAAACGGGAACAGGUGGGAAGCUGCCUCCUUCUCCUCCCUCCUGCUCUUCCGGGGGCACUUCCGCUUCUCCUCUACCUCUCGGUUUUGGGGCCAGGAGGCCGCCAGGAUCCUGGCCGCUUCCGCUGGAGAGCUGGUCCCCUCCUCCUCGUCUGAAGAGAGUCCUCCUCCUGCGUCUGCGUGGGGAGCGGCUUCCUCGCUCUGGGGGGGACAGUGGAGGAAGCCGCGUCAAGAGGCAGCGAUGCCCCAACAGCGCCGAGCCGUGACCCGGAGGACAGGGCUCAGCCCAGCAGGUCCUAGAGCGCUUGCUGUGCACACAGGGCUGGGGACACAAAACUGCCCUCGGGGAGCUACGAGCAAUCCAGGAGGUAACUGCGUUUUCUUCCUCGUUUCUGAACAGAACAAGUGCACGAAUGCACAGCAUCAGCGCUCGGUGCCCACUGCUGCGAGGACGGGCUGGGGAGGGCGGGGAGAGCCGUGCGUGGGGUCGCAGCUACCCCCAGAGCGUGUCUGUGCGUCUCUGACCGCUCCACGUGACUGUGUCCAGGGGGCCCCUGUGCCCCCAUGGGAGCCCGCAGGGGCUGCGAGAGGGACCUGAAGGAGCACCUGUGGGCCUGGGGGUGGUCACAGCCCCAGGGGCAGCACAAGGCCAGGAGAUGCAGACACCUGUCCCCCCCGAGUGGGCUCAGCACCAGAUCCAACCCAUAGCGGGCACCCUCUCGUGCAGACAGGGCGGGGGUGGCAGAGCAGCCGAGGCCUGACUCCAGGACACCUUUCUCAACGUGGACAGGACGCAGGGCCUGGGAGACACAGGUCUGUAGCACCGGAACAGAGCUGACUUGAUCUUUGAGCAGAAUCGGCCCCUGGUUCCCUACCCACCCCCACCAAACCUGGCGUGUCCUCCAAGGACCACUCUGACCUGAGCCCCGUAGCGAAGCCUCAGCCGCUCCCGGAUGAGCAGCCCUUUGACCAGCAGCUUCCAGUUCCCCAGAGCACGCUUCUCCCUUUUCUGCAAAAGCAAACAGAAUGGAAAACACCGUGCACUGCCGUUUCAGGAACAUAAAGAUACAGAUAACACUUCAGGUUAAGAUAGUUUCUCAACCACACCAGAUGUGAUUCAUAAAGUGCUACACACACAAGUCACCAAAACCAGAAACCUCUUCUUAAUUGUUAACCAACUCUAAAGUGUUUAGUGGAGGAGGGGGUCCGGGACCUGGACCACGGGCAGCUCCCUUUAACAGAGGCGGGUGUCGGCAGCAGGGGUAGCGGGCCCUGGAGCCCGGAUCCAGGCAGACGGUGGACAGAGACAGGGUUCUGAGGGGCAGGCAGGUCGUUGCUCAGUGCUGGCUCCCCGGUGCCUCCGGAAGAAAGAGCCAGAAAGAGGGCUGAGCCCGGACUCUCCCCUCCUCUUACACGUGGCGUGAGGGAGGCUGGAGGGAACACCGGCUCCGCUGUGUGUGCUGCCCGCCUUUCUGCUUCCCCGUCCUGGCCCCUCCCAGGCCCUGCCUGCUCACCUCCUUCUCCUUCUUCUCAAGGAGCGCCUGCUCGUUCUCCCAGGCGGUCAGGAGCACAUCUUUGUAUUCCUCACAGACUAUGUAGCCAUCGGUUCUGUGGGGAUCAACACAGAUGGUCUCUCUCGAGUCUGGGCCUGCUCUGGCCUCUCCACUCGCCUCCGCGGGGGACAGUGGGCUGCUCCUAAGCACUCGGGGCCCUGAAGUACUUCCAGGGUCAGCAGUCCACAGUCCCGGCCACAGCUGCUGGCAGACACCACCCACGCAGAAGGCAGGCCCGUGGACCCCAGGCUGUGUCCUCUUCCCCAGCCCCCUCCCCCACCCCCACUGCAGGGCAGGACAGAGGUCACCGACCAGGAAGGAUGCUGACCCUAUUCAGUCACCCUGACCACCCCCAGAACAGUUUUAAUCCACAUCUUUAGGGUGCUGGUUUCGCAGCUUUCACUGGUUUUGCAGCCUCUGGUUGGAAGCCAGAGUAAAAGUAUAGGACAUCGAGGGUUAAGGCUGAUUUUGCAAAUCCAGAGUAAAACCUUGAAAAUAAGAGCCACUGGGCCUCAACCCCCGCCAGCCCCACACCAACCUCCCGCCCCUUCUCCAUAAUCUCCCCCCACCCCUUCUGGCCUCCACGGGAGGCCCCUCACGCACACGGGAUGGGAGUAGCCUUUGUGGAAAUCGAAGCCCGUAACAGCCUGGGCACAGUCAAUGUUCAACUUUCGGGCCACGCGGUGCAAGUUGGGCAGGUUCAGCUGGACGCAGCCAACAGGCAUCAUGCCAGGCAGGAAGAGGUACACGUUCCCAAAUUCGUUCCGGGGGACCUGCGGAGGGUGGCACACCGGGUCCGGCUGGCCGCAGAGGGAGGUGGCCUGGUACCGACCCCACUGAGCGUGGCCCUUACCUUCCCGUCCACGGCCACUGGCGGCUGGUACUGCUCGGUCUGCCACUUGCCAAACAGGCCCAGGUCGUUGUAGUCCUGCAGCUGCGGCUCAGCCAGGCGGGCUCUCCGGGCCCGGUUGGAAUAGCCUUUUACAACCUGCACCGGAGGGGACAGCCACAGUUUAUAACAAAGGCGACCACUUCCUGAGCGUUCACUGUACACCGGGCACUGUUCUCAGUGCUUCUGUGUAUUGAUUACUUAAUCUUUUCAACAAACCCAGGAGGUAGAGUCUAUUAUCGCCUCCAUCUUAUAGCAGCCUAGGAGGUAUAAACAAUCCACCUACAGUCACACAGCUUGUAGAGACCAGAGCCUGUGUCUUGAACAGCUAUGCUGUGUUUGGUGUCCAUCACUGAAGGGGAAAUUGGGACUCAGAGAUGUUCCUGUGGCCGGUGAGUGACGGGGCCUGCCUUCGGCAGUGACCGGCUGGCUCCCUGUGCCUCAGCCCCUUCCCACCAGCCAGAGGCCCCUGCGCCCCGGCCCAGCUCCCUGGGUCUCUCAACGCGAAGGGCUCCUCCCAGGGAUCUGACAAAGAAAAGCGACUGUCUCUCAUGACUGGCCGCUGUCCUCCGCCGGCUGAAGCGGGCCCUGUGUCCCGUGACAGCCUGUGUGGUCUGCGCUGAAUUCACGCGUCUGUGGGCAGCUGACCGGCCGGAGAGGGAACGAGGCAUUGGGGCUGCACGCUGCCAUCUCACUAGCUCGGGCCUUGGACAAGUUUCCCUUUCUGAGCUCCUGUUUUCUCAUCUGUACAACAACAGGCAUCCUGAUGCUAACUCCUGUGAGACUCAGCGAAGGUCACAUACAUGCAAAACGAAGGGACAGUGAGGGCGGGUGGGCCCGUCCACGCCAGGCAGGGCUCCGGCCUCUCAGAACAAACGGGUGACACGGUUCUGACCCACAACACUGGGGCUUGGAGGGCUGCUUGCUGGCCUAGACUUCCUGCGUGCUCGGGAAGGCCCAUCUUACAAAGUCCUCAAGUAAAGAUGCUCUUCUCCUCUGAUCCUCUCAAGCCAGAACAGUCUGUCCCCACACGUGCACAGCAGCCCGCAGUCCCGCGGCCGUUACCUUGUAGGGCACUUCUCCAAGCCUCACCACUCGGGCCUGUUUCAGCCACGUGUCCCUGGAGUGCAAGGUGUGCACGCAGUCCCUAAGGAGCCAACGGGAGACAAGACAGGGUUCACAACCACCGAAGCACCCCGCGCCCGGUAGCCAGCAGGGCCUGGCUGCCUCCUCUGGCCCCCCAGGAGAAGGGGGAGCUCGGCCCUGGAGCGUCUCCUGGAGCACCAGGGGCCCGCGUCAGGCCCACGGUUAACAGGCACCUGCUGUCUCGCAGGGGGAUGCAUCCACUCACAAAUCCCAAACUAAAUGGCUUCCCGUGGUGCCUUCUCCCUCCUCUCGCCGGAAGGGCCCAGCAGCGCAGGUGCAAGCCCUCACCCAGGGUCUGGUCCGCUCCUGAAUACCAGAGAGGGGGAGGGAGGGACGAGUGUCCAGAGAAGGGGUGGGGAAGCCAGAAGACGACGACACGGAGACUACAGUAAGCUGACAAAGUACACAGGUUAGGAUGAACGUACACAGAACAGUCGGUUCCACCUGGCUCUGGCUUCGCUCUCCUCCCAGAGCUUAGAGCCACACCCCGCCUCCCAUUCCAGCUGCUUCCUGCUGAGCCUUCAGCAAGGCCCGCCCUUCAGUGGGGCUCCAAGGAGCAAGGGCACUUAGCUCCCUCUGGUGUGGACAUCCAGCCCUUCGCCUGCCCCCGGGCUGAGGCUGACGUCCAGCACAGCACACCGGACAGGGUCACACCUCCUCUGUGCCUCUUCCUAGCGGGAUGACCCCGAUCCAUCAGGGACGGUGAGCACUGCCUCCCUGCCUCACAAGCUGCUGGGGGGACCAGAGCCAAGGGCUCCACACGCGUGCCCUCCGCAGGGGCACAUCUCUGCCUGAAGGAGUGACUGUCACGGUCGUGGUCUUCCGGUAGGAGCGGAGAAGGGGCAAGCAGGUGGGCAUCGCCUGGACAUUCACAAGGAUAGCAGGGGGAAGUGGGCACAGACAACCCGUUCAGAAUAAAUCUCAGCUUCUAACCACUUUACAUCUAUUAGGACACUACUCAAGAAACAGAAAACAAGAACUGGAGAGAAUGUACAGACACUGGGAACUUCAUGCUCUGCUGGGGGAUGUAAAAUGAUGCAGCCACUGCAGAAAACAGUGCGGAGGUUCUUCACAAAGUUAAACAGAAUCACCAUGUGAUGCAGAAAUCCUACUUCUGGGCAUAUACAUCCAAAAGGACUGAAAGCAGGGUCUCAAGAGAUGUCUGUGCACCCAUGUUCAUAGCAGCACUAAACACAACCGAAAGGGGAAGCAACACAAGUGUCCAUCAAUGGAUGCCAGUCACAAAAGGACAAAUGCUGUAAGAUCCACUUCUAUGAGGCAGGGACCCCCUUCCCACCAGAUGUCCCCUGCACUUAGGACACCUGUGCUGUAUCCUCCAUUGAGGUCGCCAGGCCCUGGACGCUGUUGGCAGCUGGGCCCCUGAGCAGCCAGGGGGCAGAAAGCUCCCACAGUGACCCUAACCGGAGGGUCGGGGAUGCCUCGCCUCGGGGCUGAGCUGCAGGAAGUAGCUCUCAGGCAGAGGAGUUGAGCCACCUACUCCUGCCACAGCCUCUCCACCGUGCCCCUCGCCCACAACGGCACGCGCACACUGUGAAGCUCCAACCCCAGCCCGGCGAAGGCUGCUAAUCCCGGGCCGCCGGGCGUCUCCUCACCUGGAGUAGACAGCCUCUCCGCGGCAGUACCCGAGGAUGGCAGCCGUCUCAGGGUAGAUGGCCUCGUACUUGAGGAGGUGCCUCUUGAGGGCAUACAGAGGGUGGUUCUUGUACGUGCCUAUGACGGUGGGCAGAGGCUGGUCCAGGUGCCUCGCCUGAAACUGCAGAGGCCGAGAGACGACGUUGGGCGUGGUGCUCGGAGAGGGAGGGAGGUUGGCGGCGACCCCUGAACUUGCCCAGGUAACUGACGGUGCCGUGGGGCUUUCGGGGCCCCAGGGCUGCCGCACCACGCUGUGACCUGGCGUUCUGUCCCACGGGUUUAGGUGCCUCGGAAGCUCCGCAGGGGCCAGUAAUCCUGCAGCUCGCAGCAACGGAAAAGUCAUCCCUGCCCUCUGACACCUCGGCCAGCCCGAGCAGAGCCUUUCUCGGGAGGAGGCCUCACCUCAAGUGACACCACAAUUCUGUGACACGGAUUCAGCAGCUCGGCUCCCAUGGAAACCAGAACGAGCACUCACACCUUCUCCGUCCACUACGAUCAACACCUGUUCUCCCCGCUGCCUCAAGGCGCCUAGCUCCUCACAGGCAACCCCACUGCUCUCACCUGCAUCCCACUCACCAGGUCUCCUGCACUUCCCCGCAGCAUCUCUUCAAACCCCGACCGACAAGGGAGGAGUGGCAAGUGAGGAGCAGGAGGGACCCCGCUUGGCCAGCUUGCAUGACAAGCCCUUGAACUAGGUCAGUCGCAACACGCUCUGCACGACUGCCACGACCCUGUCACCUCUGAGCCACACCCUGAGCGAUGCAGUGCACAGGGACGACUCCCUGCCCUGGGGAACUGGCAGUAAUUCUCCAGCAAGUCUGCCCACCCUGCGGGCGGCCCUGCACAAGCCCCGGGCCCUCUUCCGGGCCCACGGCUGUCCCACGACUCAGGGACGCGCUGCUCCAGAAGCCGCCCCCAGGGCGCCCCUCACAGACAAGCCAUCUCCUCAGCCCUCCUGCUGGGGGCUGAGUGUUCUGGGUCGGGGCAGGGAUGCUGGCGGGCACACCUCUGCGCGUGCGCACGCUGAGAAGGGAGAACAGUUGUAUUACUGCAUGCUUUCCUCUUUCACUCAGGACUACCUACCUGACUUCAAGCUCCAAAUUUAUAACUGGGCAAUAACUGAAAGUACACAGGCUUUGAAGCCAGAGCAACCUGGGUUCAAAUACCAGGUCGGCUCAUCUCUCAGAUUCUAACUGUUCAGCUGGUAAAAUGAAUACCCCAGCUACGAUAACCCCAGCUUCGUACUGCUGCUGUGAUAAUUAACUGAGGUAACGCUCUACAAACACGACACGGGGCUGGGCAUCCAGCAGGUGCGCGCGCGCAAGGCCUCACCUCCUGGUCCUCCCUCUGCUCCCUCGCCACCAGCGGGCUCCGGUAGGGUCGCAGGGCCUCGGCCCACCACGCGGCGUCAACCCGGCACUUUCGUGUCGCCGUCAUCCAGGCAGGGUCGUACCUCUGUGUGACGUCGCGCACCCAGCCGUCGCCGUCGAUGCCCACGAUGUAGGUCACAGGCUUGGUGGCGUGCUGGUAGCAGGUCAGGGGCUGGCCCACGACUCCGUGCACACAGUCCACGCACAGCCACUUCUCCUCCCGCUCGGAGAACACCUCCAGCCACUGGUCCACACCAGCUGCUCUCCGGCCGUCUGCCUCCUCACCAUCCACGGGCAUCUUACGCUUGCCUCUCUGACGCUUACUGCCGGAAGCGCUUACAGACGCUUCUGGAAAGCCAGGGGGCUGAGGGUGGCUUCCACGCUGGGACCUGGACUCCCUCUUGGACCCCACCUUCAUCCUCUGAGGGGCGGUGGCCCUCCUCUGCCUUGGAAGGCCUGGCUCAGAAUCCUCGUCGGAUGGGCGAUGGCUGUCCGAGCUGGAGAGCUCAAAGUCAGAGCCGCUGCCGGCCUCGUCACUCCCGCUCUCUUCUUUGUAAGACACCCUGGCGGCCGCCCGCCGCUCCCGGCCCCGCGAACGCCUCUGGGCCCCCUCCGUCUGCCCCCCGGCCUUGCCCUCUUCUUCCCUGCUGGAGGAGGGCUCUCUCCGCUUCUUCCUGAUGGCAGCCGCCUUGCUCCCCUUCCCUUUGGCACGUGCACUGCCAGCACCCUCAGAAGAUGUGUCCUCUCGUCUGCUUCCUCUGCUGGUCUCUGGUUUGCUUGGUUUUCCAGGAACUUGGCUGGAAGUUUCUGAGGAGCCUCCAGGACCCUCUGUGGAUCUCUCCUUGGAAGGUUUCUUUCCCUUAAACAGAAUAGGAAAUUUUUUCUUUUUCUUUUUUUGCUAAUGAUACAAUAAAGACUCUGGCAUCUAACGGGGCUAAGUCACACUGGAACACCAGUGUACACAAGACGUUCCCGGCUCAGUGACAGUGACAGGCUGGCUACCCUCCAAGGCUGUAAGAAAGCAGUCACUAAAUUCUGCAGCACCUUAAAUAAGGCCACACUCUAAUUCUUUUCAACACAAAGUGUAGCACAGGGAAAAGAGCACGGGAUGUGGAAACAGACAAAUUCGGGUUCAAACGCCACUUCUGCUUUCUCAUUUUUUAUGUGAUUCGGAUAAAUUAUGUAACCUCUGAGUCUCAGUUUCCUCAGCAAUAGUACUCACCUUGCACAUAAGGCAUUUUGCAAACAAAGUCACAGCAUUAAGAAUUCAGAAAUUAUUAAACUUGACUUCCGGACCCAAUUUCGGACAAUGCCAGCACCCCAAGGAGCACAGGGGUCAGCCUCCUCUGACGACGGCAGAGUUCUGAGUCCUCACCGUCCUCUCUCCACACUGCUGAGGAGGACCAGUACCUUUUUAUUCCACCAUUUACAGAACAGAAACCAGAGCACGAAGGAGCCCAGGCUCUCGCAGGCCCCACUACGCAUGCAAAGCCCGGCUGCUAGAUACCCACCCAGGUGCCCAGUCUUCCCAGCACAGGGCCUGUGCCAGGCAGGCUCCGAGGAACCCUGCUCCACGAAGACUGAUUUUUAAAAAUCGUCUAAUGAGCAGAUCUGUUUGCUUUAAGUCUCAUAAUUUCUCACUCCUCCCUGACCAACUACUCUUUUCUCUGGAAGCCCCGGGAACCUCACCUUCGCUGCUGAUAACUUCAGAGGAAUUGGCUGUAGAGACAGUACGAGUCGGGUAGGGAGAUGCAGGGCCCGGAGAAUCAGUAAAAAUAUCUAUAAUGAAAAAGAACAACAUGCUUAUCCUCAGGAAAGAAUUAAGGAUUUGCAUAAUUCCAUGCUGUUUGUUGUGGUGCCUGUUUAUAAAAGGGAAACUACCAAAUUGUCUAACAGUAGGAGCCUGGAACCCUCAACACUAUUAAAAUGAUGCUGUAGAGAUUUAUCUUUGUAGAAAAAUGGGGCAUGGUAACCAUAUAUUAAAGGAAAAGAAAUGUUUGUUUUUUAA